CAGCAGCCGCCGCGGUAAAACGAAGGGUGCAAGCGUUACUCGGAAUUACUGGGCGUAAAGCGUGCGUAGGUGGUGGUUUAAGUCCGUUGUGAAAGCCCUGGGCUCAACCUGGGAAUUGCAGUGGAUACUGGGUCACUAGAGUGUGGUAGAGGAUAGUGGAAUUUCCGGUGUAGCAGUGAAAUGCGUAGAGAUCGGAAGGAACAUCUGUGGCGAAGGCGACUAUCUGGGCCAACACUGACACUGAGGCACGAAAGCGUGGGGAGCAAACAGGAUUAGAUACCCCAGUAGUCCCUGUCUCUUAUAC
rnacentral:rRNA from 1 species